rnacentral:lncRNA from 1 species
AUGGCUCAAGGAUGGUUAUCUGCAAACGGAGCAGAAGCAGCUCUGAGGUUGCUGCCUCCUAGAAGUACAGCUUCAGCUGCUUGCUGUUGCCACUUAUCUUUUGCCAGAAGCAGCUCAGCGCAUUCAAGGGGUUGUGUCCCAGAGAUUUUGAGCUCCUCUGGAAGGAGGAUGGAAUUUCCAACAUCUGUGCUGGAGUCGUCAUCAGUUUGUGCCAGUUCUGGGGGCAGACAGAAGUAAGCAGGCUGGUGCUGAAUGCUUUGAGUCUUUUAUUUCCUAUAGCAGCAAGGAGGAAACUUGUUGGAAAGAAUAAGUCUUUUUUUUUUUUUAAAUUAUUUUUAAGCAGGUACUUUUUGAUUUUUCUUUGUCUGUUUAGUGUAAAGUGUGGGGUUUUCAUUUUUUUUUCCAACUCAAGGUCUCUCAGGAGAGAUAAAAUAUGACGUACUACCAUUAUAUACAUUAGUCAUGGCAAAUAGUUUGGCGUAUAUGGCAAAGGCAAAAUGGAUACUUAACAAGAGGACAAUAGAGAAACACUGGUUUUACUUGUUUCUCUUCUUGCUGCUACUGGUCCAGGCUUUCCGUGUUUACUUGCCUUCUAAAGCACAUCUCCUAAAUCUGAGUUGCCCAGCAGAGCCCUGAAAACUCAUCUAGUUUGUGUUGUAACAACUGUAACUUCUCUGGAUAGCAGUGAAAACAGAACCGAGUUCCGUAGCUGUGUGAGCUGAGAGGUGUUAACAAAACAAGGGCAAGGAGCCGAACCCAGCAGCCAGCACAAUAUGGGUGGUGUGGGACUCGCUAGAGAAUGUGGGAACUAAACCCGUGUUAUUGAACUUCCCUUGGCGUUUCCCAUUCAUUGUCUCUGUAUGUCAGGAAACAGACAGUGAGGGAACCUCGUUUUUCCUCUGAUUUUUCUGCCUACUUGCUGUGUAAUUAUUGAGUCUCUUCCUAUACCUCACCUGACAGUAAAAUUGGGACUUGAAAUGUGUUUGGGGAGGGCAUCUGGAGGUGCUGCAUGUUUAAGUUCAGUUGCUCACAAAAAGUAGAAAGUAGCGUCAGGGAUGGUAACUGUCUUCAACAUCAGGUAACAAAAAUGUCUCAUUUAUCUUAAGAUUUAUUUUUCUUAACAUUUCUGAUUCUCAUGUAAAAUACCCUUUUUUUGAGGGGAGAGGGAGGAAGAGUAGGGGGAUGAACCAGUAACAGCCCCACCACGUCCCUUAUAUAAGGUGUGACCUAAAGAUCAAAGAUGAAUUAAUUCUGUAGGUAUUACAGUUUAAACAAAAAUGACUAAAAAUGUUUUGCUUUGGUUUUGUCCUGAAAUCUUUUGAUUUUUUUUUUAAAUCAUUUUUUUAAACCAACAGCCUGUUGGGCGAGGAACGCAAUAAAAUGCAUGUAAAGAUUGAAGAGGGAGCA